GAAAGGGCACUCUAAUGGGACUGCCGGUGACAAACCGGAGGAAGGUGGGGAUGACGUCAGGUCAUCAUGGCCCUUAUGGGUAGGGCUACACACGUCAUACAAUGGCCGGUACAGAGGGCUGCCAACCCGCGAGGGGGAGCUAAUCCCAGAAAACCGGUCGUAGUCCGGAUCGCAGUCUGCAACUCGACUGCGUGAAGUCGGAAUCGCUAGUAAUCGCGGAUCAGCAUGUCGCGGUGAAUACGUUCCCGGGUCUUGUACACACCGCCCGUCACACCAUGGGAGCGGGUUCCGCCAGAAGUAGGUAGCCUAACCGCAAGGAGGGCGCUUACCACGGCGGGGUUCGUGACUGGGGUGAAGUCGUAACAAGGUAGCCGUAGGGGAACUGC
rnacentral:rRNA from 1 species